rnacentral:tRNA from 2 species
GGCCCCAUCGUCUAGUGGUUAGGACAUUUGGUUUUCAUCCAAAAAACUGGGUUUCGACUACCCAUGGGGCCG